GCUGGGAAUAGGAGUGCGUAUGUCUGUAAUUUCAGCUACUUGGGAGGCUGAGGCAGGAGAAUCACAAGUUAGAGGCCAGCCUGGGCAACUUAGUGAGACUCUGCCUCAA
rnacentral:sRNA from 1 species